AUUGAACGCUGGCGGCAGGCCUAACACAUGCAAGUCGAGCGGAUGAAGGGAGCUUGCUCCUGGAUUCAGCGGCGGACGGGUGAGUAAUGCCUAGGAAUCUGCCUGGUAGUGGGGGAUAACGUCCGGAAACGGGCGCUAAUACCGCAUACGUCCUGAGGGAGAAAGUGGGGGAUCUUCGGACCCCACGCUAUCAGAUGAGCCUAGGUCGGAUUAGCUAGUUGGUGGGGUAAAGGCCUACCAAGGCGACGAUCCGUAACUGGUCUGAGAGGAUGAUCAGUCACACUGGAACUGAGACACGGUCCAGACUCCUACGGGAGGCAGCAGUGGGGAAUAUUGGACAAUGGGCGAAAGCCUGAUCCAGCCAUGCCGCGUGUGUGAAGAAGAUCUUCGGAUUGUAAAGCACUUUAAGUUGGGAGGAAGGGCAGUAAGUUAAUGCCUUGCUGUUUUGACGUUACCAACAGAAUAAGCACCGGCUAACUUCGUG
rnacentral:rRNA from 1 species